rnacentral:rRNA from 1 species
GAUGAACGCUGGCGGCGUGCUUAACACAUGCAAGUCGAACGGUGAAGGCGGAGCUUGCUCUGCUGGAUCAGUGGCGAACGGGUGAGUAACACGUGAGCAAUCUGCCCCUGACUCUGGGAUAAGCGCUGGAAACGGCGUCUAAUACUGGAUACGAGCUGCGAAGGCAUCUUCAGCAGCUGGAAAGAAUUUCGGUCAGGGAUGAGCUCGCGGCCUAUCAGCUUGUUGGUGAGGUAAUGGCUCACCAAGGCGUCGACGGGUAGCCGGCCUGAGAGGGUGACCGGCCACACUGGGACUGAGACACGGCCCAGACUCCUACGGGAGGCAGCAGUGGGGAAUAUUGCACAAUGGGCGAAAGCCUGAUGCAGCAACGCCGCGUGAGGGACGACGGCCUUCGGGUUGUAAACCUCUUUUAGCAGGGAGGAAGCGAAAGUGACGGUACCUGCAGAAAAAGCGCCGGCUAACUACGUG